rnacentral:rRNA from 1 species
AGCGUACACGGUGGAUGCCCUGGCAGUCAGAGGCGAUGAAGGACGUGCUAAUCUGCGAUAAGCGUCGGUAAGGUGAUAUGAACCGUUAUAACCGGCGAUUUCCGAAUGGGGAAACCCAGUGUGUUUCGACACACUAUCAUUAACUGAAUCCAUAGGUUAAUGAGGCGAACCGGGGGAACUGAAACAUCUAAGUACCCCGAGGAAAAGAAAUCAACCGAGAUUCCCCCAGUAGCGGCGAGCGAACGGGGAGCAGCCCAGAGCCUGAAUCAGUGUGUGUGUUAGUGGAAGCGUCUGGAAAGGCGCGCGAUACAGGGUGACAGCCCCGUACACAAAAAUGCACAUGCUGUGAGCUCGAUGAGUAGGGCGGGACACGUGGUAUCCUGUCUGAAUAUGGGGGGACCAUCCUCCAAGGCUAAAUACUCCUGACUGACCGAUAGUGAACCAGUACCGUGAGGGAAAGGCGAAAAGAACCCCGGCGAGGGGAGUGAAAAAGAACCUGAAACCGUGUACGUACAAGCAGUGGGAGCACGCUUAGGCGUGUGACUGCGUACCUUUUGUAUAAUGGGUCAGCGACUUAUAUUCUGUAGCAAGGUUAACCGAAUAGGGGAGCCGAAGGGAAACCGAGUCUUAACUGGGCGUUAAGUUGCAGGGUAUAGACCCGAAACCCGGUGAUCUAGCCAUGGGCAGGUUGAAGGUUGGGUAACACUAACUGGAGGACCGAACCGACUAAUGUUGAAAAAUUAGCGGAUGACUUGUGGCUGGGGGUGAAAGGCCAAUCAAACCGGGAGAUAGCUGGUUCUCCCCGAAAGCUAUUUAGGUAGCGCCUCGUGAAUUCAUCUCCGGGGGUAGAGCACUGUUUCGGCAAGGGGGUCAUCCCGACUUACCAACCCGAUGCAAACUGCGAAUACCGGAGAAUGUUAUCACGGGAGACACACGGCGGGUGCUAACGUCCGUCGUGAAGAGGGAAACAACCCAGACCGCCAGCUAAGGUCCCAAAGUCAUGGUUAAGUGGGAAACGAUGUGGGAAGGCCCAGACAGCCAGGAUGUUGGCUUAGAAGCAGCCAUCAUUUAAAGAAAGCGUAAUAGCUCACUGGUCGAGUCGGCCUGCGCGGAAGAUGUAACGGGGCUAAACCAUGCACCGAAGCUGCGGCAGCGACACUAUGUGUUGUUGGGUAGGGGAGCGUUCUGUAAGCCUGUGAAGGUGUGCUGUGAGGCAUGCUGGAGGUAUCAGAAGUGCGAAUGCUGACAUAAGUAACGAUAAAGCGGGUGAAAAGCCCGCUCGCCGGAAGACCAAGGGUUCCUGUCCAACGUUAAUCGGGGCAGGGUGAGUCGACCCCUAAGGCGAGGCCGAAAGGCGUAGUCGAUGGGAAACAGGUUAAUAUUCCUGUACUUGGUGUUACUGCGAAGGGGGGACGGAGAAGGCUAUGUUGGCCGGGCGACGGUUGUCCCGGUUUAAGCGUGUAGGCUGGUUUUCCAGGCAAAUCCGGAAAAUCAAGGCUGAGGCGUGAUGACGAGGCACUACGGUGCUGAAGCAACAAAUGCCCUGCUUCCAGGAAAAGCCUCUAAGCAUCAGGUAACAUCAAAUCGUACCCCAAACCGACACAGGUGGUCAGGUAGAGAAUACCAAGGCGCUUGAGAGAACUCGGGUGAAGGAACUAGGCAAAAUGGUGCCGUAACUUCGGGAGAAGGCACGCUGAUAUGUAGGUGAAGCGACUUGCUCGUGGAGCUGAAAUCAGUCGAAGAUACCAGCUGGCUGCAACUGUUUAUUAAAAACACAGCACUGUGCAAACACGAAAGUGGACGUAUACGGUGUGACGCCUGCCCGGUGCCGGAAGGUUAAUUGAUGGGGUUAGCGCAAGCGAAGCUCUUGAUCGAAGCCCCGGUAAACGGCGGCCGUAACUAUAACGGUCCUAAGGUAGCGAAAUUCCUUGUCGGGUAAGUUCCGACCUGCACGAAUGGCGUAAUGAUGGCCAGGCUGUCUCCACCCGAGACUCAGUGAAAUUGAACUCGCUGUGAAGAUGCAGUGUACCCGCGGCAAGACGGAAAGACCCCGUGAACCUUUACUAUAGCUUGACACUGAACAUUGAGCCUUGAUGUGUAGGAUAGGUGGGAGGCUUUGAAGUGUGGACGCCAGUCUGCAUGGAGCCGACCUUGAAAUACCACCCUUUAAUGUUUGAUGUUCUAACGUUGACCCGUAAUCCGGGUUGCGGACAGUGUCUGGUGGGUAGUUUGACUGGGGCGGUCUCCUCCUAAAGAGUAACGGAGGAGCACGAAGGUUGGCUAAUCCUGGUCGGACAUCAGGAGGUUAGUGCAAUGGCAUAAGCCAGCUUGACUGCGAGCGUGACGGCGCGAGCAGGUGCGAAAGCAGGUCAUAGUGAUCCGGUGGUUCUGAAUGGAAGGGCCAUCGCUCAACGGAUAAAAGGUACUCCGGGGAUAACAGGCUGAUACCGCCCAAGAGUUCAUAUCGACGGCGGUGUUUGGCACCUCGAUGUCGGCUCAUCACAUCCUGGGGCUGAAGUAGGUCCCAAGGGUAUGGCUGUUCGCCAUUUAAAGUGGUACGCGAGCUGGGUUUAGAACGUCGUGAGACAGUUCGGUCCCUAUCUGCCGUGGGCGCUGGAGAACUGAGGGGGGCUGCUCCUAGUACGAGAGGACCGGAGUGGACGCAUCACUGGUGUUCGGGUUGUCAUGCCAAUGGCACUGCCCGGUAGCUAAAUGCGGAAGAGAUAAGUGCUGAAAGCAUCUAAGCACGAAACUUGCCCCGAGAUGAGUUCUCCCUGACUCCUUGA